AGAAAAUAUCCACAAUGAAAUUUCUACAAGAUUAGAGGAAGGAGAGAGGCAACGGGGAUUCCAUUUCUACUAGGAGUAUCAACCUCUGAGAGAAAAAUAUCCAUCUCUGUGGAUGUCAUCUGCUCUGCAGAAAACCCUUUCCUGGAACUCCCAGGAACUGCUGUACUGAAGCUCCUGCACAUCUGUGAAGUGUGGAAGCUGUGGGUGAAAACAGUAAAUACUUCCAGUUGCCCGUGUGUGUCACUUAACCGAGGAAUCCUGGGAAAGUAAAAGUUGUCACCACAAAAUAGCUACUGUAGUGGAAGAACGUCUCUGUCAUUUUCUGUAAUGAAAAAUCUGGUAACAUCUGCA
ensembl:lncRNA novel transcript